rnacentral:rRNA from 1 species
GACGUAGGGCGCGAGCGUUGUCCGGAUUUAUUGGGCGUAAAGAGCUCGUAGGCGGCUUGUCGCGUCGUUCGUGAAAACCUGUAGCUCAACUGCAGGCUUGCGGUCGAUACGGGCAGGCUAGAGUUCGGUAGGGGAGACUGGAAUUCCUGGUGUAGCGGUGAAAUGCGCAGAUAUCAGGAGGAACACCGGUGGCGAAGGCGGAUCUCUGGGCCUUACCUGACGCUGAGGCGCGAAAGCUAGGGGAGCAAACAGG